GUCAGGGGCACAAAGUGGACAGGCAUGAUGAUGUGAGUGGAAGUGCUAGGUAUUGGGUGGUGUCGUUACCGUAAGAGGGAGCUGGAGUAGGAAUCUCUAUGGGUGGGACUGCUGUCAAUGGUUGAGGGGAUUCCAGUUUCUCAAGACUAACACUGAUAGUGCUAAUGGAAGCAAGAAGGGACGACAUUAAACCCUUGAUUUCCG